AAAACCAAACGGUAAUUAAAUGGCACAAUAACCCUCACAGGUGGGUUUUAAAUGGGUUUUAAAUGCCUUAAAAUAAAUAAAAGAAAAAGAACUGAAGGAAAGUGAAACAAAUCACCACAAAUUCGUUCAUCUCCCUCAAAGAACAACUUCCACUCUCUCGAUCUCUCUCUAAAUACAGACAAACGAAUGCUUCCAAAAUCAACAAAACUCUCACCUUUCUCGUUUGUUCUUCAGACGUCUCCGCUUUGAUACGAAUCUCCUGCUCUCACGAAUCUUCUAUGCUUCAUCAAUCGCUGGUGGCCGCCGAAAGCCAUCAACGGCAGAAGGGUUUGUUGUGUCGGUAGCUGAUCGCGAGCUUGAGGUUGCCGAUCCUUGGGAUUCCGUGGUUGCGACCUGGUGGAGGAGGAGGCGGCUCUCUUUUUUCGGUGAAAAAUUAUUAGGGUUUUUUCGCUACCUCCUUGAAUCGUGGCUGCCCCCUUCUUUAUACUCACCCUACUAGGGUUUUGAGUUGGCUUACUGCAAUCAAAAGGGGUAUCCCUUUGGAAGUCCUUUGAGGUACUCCAGUUUUGUCUGCCUUACUUGGUGUUUGAUCUGGAAAAGGAGAAAACGUCGAACUUGCGAGCAUGGCUUUGAUUUUUUUGUGUUGAUGCUGUGGUGUAUGCUCUGUUGUCAUAAUUGUUGAAAGGAACAUUGGGAGCUACUUCUGACUUGUCGGUUAUUGGAGAAGCAAACAUGGUUAAAACCUUCGCUCAUCCUUGACCUAUCACCUUGAUUCCUUUUUGAACUAUGAUAGCUAACAGUAUUGUUUGGACAGUUCCGGUUGAGUAGAAACAAAAACAAGCGAUUUGGGAUGAACACUGAUGCCGGUUUUAACACUUCCAUCUGAUAUUCAGUGGAAUUCCGGUUAAGUGUACAUCUCAUGGUUUGCGACAUACUUUUGGCAGUUCUCCUGGUUUUACUUCAAUAGCAAUUCUUGAAGUUUUGGAAACAUGCUUAUUCAUGAACUGAUUUUGAUCUUCUUCCUGUAGGAAUUCUUGAAUUCGAUCAACCGAAACUUUUGUUUGACUUAUCAUGGAAAUAAAUUCAAGCAAAUUGUAAAGCGGUUCUUGCAAAAUACGAAACGUCGCUAGAGCCGAGAGAACCGUGGCUUCAUACUUUGCAUUCCAAUAUCUCCUGUUAUAUGCUUGCUCGACUUCCUCUGCAUUAUUACUUUUUGUUUUUUUGCUAUCAGCGUCCAUUGGAUCAGUUUUUGGUUCGGCAAAUGACAGUUCCUUCUCCGACUCAACUAUUGUCUCCUCUCACAAUUCCAUUUUUGGUGCAGGAAAUAUGCUACAUGCAUGAUGAUUACUCGCCGCAUAUUGUUCACCGAGACGUGAAAACAAGUAACAUUCUUUUGGAUUCAUAAUUCAAUGCAAAAGUUGUUGAUUUCGGUCUCGCCAGGAUAUUGAUUAAACCAGAAGAACUUGCCACCAUGCCAGCUGUGGCUAGCGCAUUUGGAUAUAUUGCUCCAGAAUAUGCUCAAACAAUUAGAGUCAAUGAGAAGAUAGAUGUUUACGGCUUUGGAGUAGUUCUAUUGGAACUGACAACUGGAAAAGAAACUAAUCUAAAAAUUGUCAGCCGGUAGACCAUCAAUGAAGGAAGUCUUGAAGAUAUUGAUCGGUUGCAGAGAUCCAUAAGCAAGCCAAUGCAUAGAAGAUUGUUGAUAUUCAUGAUGAUGCUCCACUCCUUAAGAACUUUGAUAAUGUGAUAAAAUGCAUGCACGUUUGUAACGACCUUGGAACUGAGUUUUUGACUAAUAGUUACAGCUUCGUGUUUUCUUUUUUAAAGUGCAACAUUCACUUUAGACUUUAAAGAA